CUGCACCAGAGAACAAGACACAAACGUAUCACCAAUAAAUAAUGGAUGCAUUUACUAAUCAAAAUUACAUAUCUGAAAGAAAGCAAAUACACAUUAAUGAAAACAAGGCAAUUAACCACCAACAAACGACAAAAAAACAGCACAAGUCAACUUAAAGCUCAUUUUUAGAUACAAAUUCUCAAAGCUAUUGACUCAGGACACCUGAAGGACUCUCUGUUGCUGUAUCUUCCACAGAGGUUAAAGGCUUCAUCCAGCGUUCGGGACACUUCCUCAUUGGCCUCAUCGUCUGAGCUGAGAUCCUCCAAACAGGUCAGCAACUGAGCGAGUCUCUGACGAAGUAUGAACCGUGCUGAAGUAGACUGAGACGUCAUGGUGGACAUACUGUCAGAGCGCAUGCGUGGGACAUCAAAUGUGUCAGACAUCUUGCUAUGGCUUAUACAAACCAAGAGUUUAUCUGAAAUUACAAUUGUUCAUGAGACUAGACGACGACAAGAAAAGCUGAGAGAGACAGAAGCAGAAGGAUGUGGUAUCAGAGUUUUCCUGAAGUAGAGCAAGUAGAGCGGCAACAGAAAUCCCAGCAUACUGACAACCAGCAGACCAACGUUCACCUGCACCAGAAAGCAAAGAUUAUGAAGAAGAGGGGUCCCAUCAUGGCCAUGAACAAAGGCUGUUGCAGCAGAGCGAAUAAAGCACUAACCAGAGACUGCAUUCCAGUCAGACUGCCGAACUGAGAUGAUGGGUACCUGCACACAAACAAAUAUGAUGUGUUAUUAUGUGCUUUAUCACUGAUUAAACUGAUCAUGCAUUGGACUGAUAAACUCACACAGCAGCGUAAAGUCCACCGAUGGCAGAGUGGAUGAAGCCUCUGACGAUGGUGUGAAGGACAAACGAGAGCAUCUGAAGAGAGGUGACAUGACAAAAAAGAUAUUAGAGACUUGUUUAUUUAUUCUGUU
rnacentral:lncRNA from 1 species